CGCAGGUUGAAGGAAGCCCCCGCCCCGAAACCGGCGACGGGGCGGGGCGUGAGUAAGCCCCGCCCCACCGCGUAGACCGCUUCCUUCUGCAAGCAGCCAGGAGGGAAAACGAAUCUUGGAAUACAAAGUUUUGAAUCAUGCAAAGUUUACAGAAGGCAUCCUUCCUGGAAAAUGUGACUUUCCUGGACCUCCCCAGCUAUACUGGCAUAAAUACAGCACCUGGAGUCUGCUCUUGGAAAGAGAAUGUUAUGAGCUGAAUUGUGUCCUGUGAAUUAAUAGAAAAUAUAUAUUUCAUCUAUGCCCUCAG